AGUGAACGCUGGCGGUAGGCCUAACACAUGCAAGUCGAACGGCAGCACAGUAAGAGCUUGCUCUUACGGGUGGCGAGUGGCGGACGGAUGAGGAAUACAUCGGAAUCUACUUUUUCGUGGGGGAUAACGUAGGGAAACUUACGCUAAUACCGCAUACGACCUACGGGUGAAAGCAGGGGAUCUUCGCACCUUGCGCGAUUGAAUGAGCCGAUGUCGGAUUAGCUAGUUGGCGGGGUAAAGGCCAACCAAGGCGACGAUCCGUAGCUGGACUGAGAGGAUGAUCAGCCACACUGGAACUGAGACACGGUCCAGGCUCCUACGGGAGGGCGCAGUGGGGAAUAUUGGACAAUGGGCGCAAACCUUAUCCAGCCAUACCGCGUGUGUGACGAAGGCGUUCGGGUUGUAAAGCCCUUUUGUUGGGAAAGAAAAGCAUCCGGUUAAUACGCCGCUGUUGUGACGGUACCCAAAGAAUAAGCACCGGCUAACUUCGUG
rnacentral:rRNA from 1 species